GGGAAGGUGGUUCAGUGGUAAAGUGCUUGCCUUGCAUGCAUGAGGUCCUGGGUUCGAUUCCUCAUUACCA
rnacentral:tRNA from 1 species